GGGGAUGGAGCUCAGUGGUAGAACACUUGCCUGGCAGAAGGUCCUGGGUUAGAUUCCCAGCACCACUA
rnacentral:tRNA from 1 species